GGGGAUUUAGCUCAGUGGCAUAAGCACCUGCCUAGCAAGCAUGUCGGGAGUUCAAUCCCCA
rnacentral:tRNA from 1 species